UCUCAUCGGCGUUGACCCGAGUGCCAUGCAGCAGGUGGAUGUAGAAGGGCUCUUGUAUGGACCACAGUGAUGAUGUGUUUUGCUGUUGAAAGAAGUCCAGGCAUUCAAAAAGUGUGCUGAGAGGAGAAUGCAAACCAGGCAGAGGUGGAGGUUUAGACUGAGAGCGGCUCUUGGAGACCUGGUUGCUCAAGCCCCCCUGCUCCUCUUGGUAUUUAGCGAUAGUGGAGUGAUGCACCAUGGUCACAUGGGGAGUCAGGCCUCCGUACAAGCAUGAGAAAAUGUACUGCAAAAAUACCAAACACAUGUAAGCCAUCUGAUUAAGAAUUUCCUCUACCAGAGCUCAGGGUAGGCUAUUGUGACGUAAAGGAGGGGAUCUGUGGGAGCAUGAGAGAGGGGUCUGCUUCAUUCAGACCAGAGCAAGACCAGGACAAGAGUCAUCAACAUCAAAUCUUGCAGCCUGUUCAUUUAGUUAGUGUAAUUCAGCUCAAAUCACAUUAUGCUCUCUGUAGUUGACUUUUAAAAGCCUACUAAAGGUGGAUGACUCAUCUCUGCAGGUACAGGCAGUUUCAAUAUCAACAACUGCCUCAGCAGUGCCAGACAAGCCAAAACACAUGUAAGCCUGAGAGCCUGUUGUUGCUGCAUCAGUUUAAUUAGAAUAAGUCCUUAUGACAGAGCAAAAAAAAAACACAGAGAUGAAGCAAGAUGAAUAAAGUUUGGAAUGUCUGGUCCUUA